rnacentral:rRNA from 1 species
CUGCUAUCGGAUUGAUACUAAGCCAUGCGAGUCUUUGUAGUAAUACAAGGCAUACGGCUCAGUAACACGUAGUCAACCUACCCUAUGGACAAGAAUAAUCUCGGGAAACUGGGCAUAAUUCUUGAUAGAUCAUAAUGCCUGAAUGGUUUAUGGUUAAAAUGAUUCGUCGCCAUAGGAUGGGACUGCGGCCUAUCAGCUUGUUGGUGAGGUAAUGGCCCACCAAGGCGAUUACAGGUACGGGCUCUGAGAGGAGAAGCCCGGAGAUGGGUACUGAGACACGGACCCAGGCCCUAUGGGGCGCAGCAGGCGAGAAAACUUUGCAAUGUGCGAAAGCACGACAAGGUUAAUCCGAGUGAUUUCUGCUAAAGAAAUCUUUUGCCAGUCAUAAAACCACUGGUGAAUAAGGGGUGGGCAAGUUCUGGUGUCAGCCGCCGCGGUAAAACCAGCACCUCAAGUGGUCAGGAUGAUUAUUGGGCCUAAAGCAUCCGUAGCCGGCUUUGUUAGUUUUCGGUUAAAUCUAUGUGCUCAACGCAUGGGCUGCCGAAAAUACUGCAUGGCUAGGGAGUGGGAGAGGUAGACGGUACUCAGUAGGAAGGGGUAAAAUCCUUUGAUCUAUUGAUGACCACCUGUGGCGAAGGCGGUCUACCAGAACACGUUCGACGGUGAGGGAUGAAAGCUGGGGGAGCAAACCGGAUUAGAUACCCGGGUAGUCCCAGCUGUAAACGAUGCAGACUCGAUGAUGCAUUGGCAUAAUAGCCAGUGCAGUGUCGCAGGGAAGCCGUUAAGUCUGCCGCCUGGGAAGUACGUACGCAAGUAUGAAACUUAAAGGAAUUGGCGGGGGAGCACCACAAGGGGUGAAGCCUGCGGU